AUAAAAGGAGUCUUAUCACAUAAGUAGAAAAAGAACAGAACAACAUCAGCCAAAUAUGUCCUAGAGAGAGAACGGCAAGAUUAGGAAACCCUAAAAUGGCUAGUGAAGAGCUCAAGCUAAGAUCUGAAAUUCAUCCUUCUCGCCGAUGAUAGUUCUGAUUGAUGUUGCUCCUGGGGUAUCUUAGAGCCUUAAUUUUACCUUGGAUAAACCAAAUGAUAUCUUUGCAUUUGAUGCAUAAUGGAUUGAAGAUUACCCAUCUUUGCUGAGGUUUGGUGGUUGUCUGUGACCCACAUCCGGCUAUUGUUUCUUUGCUGAUAUGGAAGCUUGAUUUGUAUGUUGCUGCUUCUUCAUUGAUUUGGUUUUAUCACUUUGCUAUUGCAUCUUCUCCUUCUCUUCUUCCUUUUCUUUUUUUUGGUCUAAAUUCUGGGUGGAUACUCCAACAUCCAUCCAUGUCAUGCCCUUGUAAUUUACAAUGUGUGCAAUACUUUGGCAAAUAGUCAUACUGAAUUUUUUGCCACUUUGAUUGCACUUCCCCAGUAUCCUCAUCAAGACAAUUGAUUUGGAUCCUUUUUGCCUUCUCUCAUCCUUUAUUAUUGCGUGGGUUUACAGACUCAUACCAUAUCAACUCUGUUUUACACAUAUUAUCAAAGACUAAGUUCUCCCGGUUUCACUGAGUAAUUUUCAAGUUCCGAAAGUCGAUCACAAAAAUGGUGGAUGGACUGCAAGGAGGAGAAGAAUUCGAGAUGAUAAUACAUUUUGGAUGCACUUGUAUUCAAGAAGGCUUGAUUUAAAAGUUGGAUUUAUUUUGUUUAAUUUGGUGUGGACCAUGAAAUUGACAAUGAUCGACUAGCCAUCCUAAUGAAGACUUGUUAAUCGAAUUUCCGUACAACUUCAACAAAAUACUUCUUUCAUUCAACAAUAUAAGCUUUCGGGCUUUGUGGGAUUAAUUGAUUGGAUACCCGAGACCCAUAAUCUUUCCUAGGAACAGCUUCUACGACGUUCUCGCAAGAGCGAGGCACAGCGAGCCAAACCAUUUUAUCCUUGCGGCCCUCUUCUGCGUCGAGCUUCAAAUUCUGUGACUCAUAAGCCCUCCGUAUCUAAAGAUAGAUGGCUGUGUGCGGCUAUGAAAAGGCUGAAGUUAUCUAUCUAUAUCUAUAUUAUAUUAGAAGCAUGAACUCCUUAACUUGAAAGUUAAAUUACUUAAAUACCCCUAUAGAAACCUAAUUAUCCUAUUUAAUUAAAAAUAAAUAAACUGCCCCAAACCCACGCUUGAAUACAAACAAUGUGCCAUUUGAGACAAAAAAACUGCCCAAUACCACGCUUGGAUACAAAGUUGUGCUGCUUGAGAGACUAAACACUAAUUGAAACAUGAUUACAAACAUGAGUUCCAAUAUGGCAAUGUCUGAAAGUUCUCACAUUCUCCAUGUCUUUCUGGUGAAUAUAAAACAACAACAACAUACCCAGUAUAAUCCCAUA